rnacentral:lncRNA from 1 species
CGCCAUCGACAUAUACCUAGCUUGCUCGUAUACCCCUUCCGAUACAUAACAAGUGUCGCUGAUUUAGUACAACUUUCUACCAUCAAAUUGCAAUUCGAGCCAGUGACACGGUUUAAGUCAUGCACAUAACAACACUAGAACCAUUUUAAUUUCGCACUUUUGAUGAGGUUUAUAGGAUUUAAGUUUAAAAGCCGAUUCAGUGUGAGACGGGAGACAGAAGAGGCGACCUCCCAAGCGUCGUCGGCGGCUUGGGUUUCCAACUUUUCCCUCCGCCGAUGCCGCCAUCGGUCCACGUCCGAUGGCUUCCUUGGCCUCUGAGCUACGGUGGAUCUUGGCCGCUCGCCCACAGAAGGAUUAUCAUUUUUUGUUUUUAGAUUUUUUUUCCAGUGUUUUCUUCAAGAUGAUGAAGCGACUGUGAUAUCUUAUAACUAGAAUAAGGUCAUUCCUGUCUUGUACUCGCUCCGGUGGUGCGCCUAGCGCCGACGGAGGGCGUGGGGAGUGUGUAUCCAACGAAUCCGUUGGGUUUCGGCUGGCUUUUCAGGUUUCCAACUAAUUCCUUGGGAUCUAGUUGGCUUUCGUGUUCGUUGGUUGGUUUCAGAUUGGGAUCUUCUGAUUUAUGGUUCUCAUCUUUGACGAUGUUGCUACUCUAGUGUCCGGUCCUUUAGAACCUUAGCAACGACUACUCCAUCUUCUAUUACAAAAAGCGUUCUUUUGACAAGCUUUGUCAUGUCUUGGUGAUGGAGAAAAAGGAUGGUGGUCAGCAGUCGGCUCGUUCUAACGCUUGUUGUUGUCCCUAGUGGUCCAAAGAACUAUUUGUAAUCUUUACUAUUUUUAAGCUUUUUAUAUUGCUGUUGGUGA